AGUCGAACGGCAGCGCGGACUUCGGUCUGGCGGCGAGUGGCGAACGGGUGAGUAAUGUAUCGGAACGUGCCCCGUAGCGGGGGAUAACUACGCGAAAGCGUAGCUAAUACCGCAUACGCCCUGAGGGGGAAAGCGGGGGAUCUUCGGACCUCGCACUAUUGGAGCGGCCGAUAUCGGAUUAGCUAGUUGGUGGGGUAACGGCUCACCAAGGCGACGAUCCGUAUCUGGUUUGAGAGGACGACCAGCCACACUGGGACUGAGACACGGCCCAGACUCCUACGGGAGGCAGCAGUGGGGAAUUUUGGACAAUGGGGGCAACCCUGAUCCAGCCAUCCCGCGUGUGCGAUGAAGGCCUUCGGGUUGUAAAGCACUUUUGGCAGGAAAGAAACGGCGCUGGCUAAUACCUGGCGCAACUGACGGUACCUGCAAAAUAAGCACCGGCUAACUACGUGCCAGCAGCCGCGGUAAUACGUAGGGUGCAGGCGUUAAUCGGAAUUACUGGGCGUAAAGCGUGCGCAGGCGGUUCGGAAAGAAAGAUGUGAAAUCCCAGGGCUUAACCUUGGAACUGCAUUUUUAACUACCGGGCUAGAGUGUGUCAGAGGGGGGUGGAAUUCCACGUGUAGCAGUGAAAUGCGUAGA
rnacentral:rRNA from 1 species